rnacentral:rRNA from 1 species
GGUCAAGUGAAGAAGCGCAUACGGUGGAUGCCUUGGCAGUCAGAGGCGAUGAAAGACGUGGUAGCCUGCGAUAAGCUUCGGGGAGUCGGCAAACAGACUUUGAUCCGGAGAUCUCUGAAUGGGGGAACCCACUCAGCAUAAGCUGAGUAUCUUGUACUGAAUACAUAGGUGCAAGAGGCGAACCAGGGGAACUGAAACAUCUAAGUACCCUGAGGAAAAGAAAUCAACCGAGAUUCCCUUAGUAGUGGCGAGCGAACGGGGACUAGCCCUUAAGUGGCUUUGAGAUUAGCGGAACGCUCUGGAAAGUGCGGCCAUAGUGGGUGAUAGCCCUGUACGCGAAAAUCUCUUAGUCAUGAAAUCGAGUAGGACGGAGCACGAGAAACUUUGUCUGAAUAUGGGGGACCAUCCUCCAAGGCUAAAUACUACUGACUGACCGAUAGUGAACCAGUACCGUGAGGGAAAGGCGAAAAGAACCCCGGAGAGGGGAGUGAAAUAGAACCUGAAACCGUAUGCGUACAAGCAGUGGGAGCCUACUUUGUUAGGUGACUGCGUACCUUUUGUAUAAUGGGUCAGCGACUUAUAUUCAGUGGCGAGCUUAACCGAAUAGGGAGGCGUAGCGAAAGCGAGUCUUAAUAGGGCGCUUAGUCGCUGGGUAUAGACCCGAAACCGGGCGAUCUAUCCAUGGGCAGGUUGAAGGUUAGGUAACACUGACUGGAGGACCGAACCGACUACCGUUGAAAAGUUAGCGGAUGACCUGUGGAUCGGAGUGAAAGGCUAAUCAAGCUCGGAGAUAGCUGGUUCUCCUCGAAAGCUAUUUAGGUAGCGCCUCAUGUAUCACUGUAGGGGUAGAGCACUGUUUCGGCUAGGGGGUCAUCCCGACUUACCAAACCGAUGCAAACUCCGAAUACCUACAAGUGCCGAGCAUGGGAGACACACGGCGGGUGCUAACGUCCGUCGUGAAAAGGGAAACAACCCAGACCGUCAGCUAAGGUCCCAAAGUCAUGGUUAAGUGGGAAACGAUGUGGGAAGGCUUAGACAGCUAGGAGGUUGGCUUAGAAGCAGCCACCCUUUAAAGAAAGCGUAAUAGCUCACUAGUCGAGUCGGCCUGCGCGGAAGAUGUAACGGGGCUCAAACCAUGCACCGAAGCUACGGGUAUCACUUAGGUGAUGCGGUAGAGGAGCGUUCUGUAAGCCUGUGAAGGUGAGUUGAGAAGCUUGCUGGAGGUAUCAGAAGUGCGAAUGCUGACAUGAGUAACGACAAUGGGAGUGAAAAACUCCCACGCCGAAAGACCAAGGUUUCCUGCGCAACGUUAAUCGACGCAGGGUUAGUCGGUCCCUAAGGCGAGGCUGAAAAGCGUAGUCGAUGGAAAACAGGUUAAUAUUCCUGUACUUCUAGUUAUUGCGAUGGAGGGACGGAGAAGGCUAGGCCAGCUUGGCGUUGGUUGUCCAAGUUUAAGGUGGUAGGCUGAGAUCUUAGGUAAAUCCGGGAUCUUAAGGCCGAGAGCUGAUGACGAGUUGCCAUUAGGCGACGAAGUGGUUGAUGCCAUGCUUCCAAGAAAAGCUUCUAAGCUUCAGAUAACUAGGAACCGUACCCCAAACCGACACAGGUGGUUGGGUAGAGAAUACCAAGGCGCUUGAGAGAACUCGGGUGAAGGAACUAGGCAAAAUGGCACCGUAACUUCGGGAGAAGGUGCGCCGGUGAGGGUGAAGGACUUGCUCCGUAAGCUCAUGCCGGUCGAAGAUACCAGGCCGCUGCGACUGUUUAUUAAAAACACAGCACUCUGCAAACACGAAAGUGGACGUAUAGGGUGUGACGCCUGCCCGGUGCCGGAAGGUUAAUUGAUGGGGUUAGCUAACGCGAAGCUCUUGAUCGAAGCCCCGGUAAACGGCGGCCGUAACUAUAACGGUCCUAAGGUAGCGAAAUUCCUUGUCGGGUAAGUUCCGACCUGCACGAAUGGCGUAACGAUGGCGGCGCUGUCUCCACCCGAGACUCAGUGAAAUUGAAAUCGCUGUGAAGAUGCAGUGUAUCCGCGGCUAGACGGAAAGACCCCGUGAACCUUUACUAUAGCUUUGCACUGGACUUUGAAUUUGCUUGUGUAGGAUAGGUGGGAGGCUUUGAAGCGUGGACGCCAGUUCGCGUGGAGCCAUCCUUGAAAUACCACCCUGGCAACUUUGAGGUUCUAACUCAGGUCCGUUAUCCGGAUCGAGGACAGUGUAUGGUGGGUAGUUUGACUGGGGCGGUCUCCUCCUAAAGAGUAACGGAGGAGUACGAAGGUGCGCUCAGACCGGUCGGAAAUCGGUCGUAGAGUAUAAAGGCAAAAGCGCGCUUGACUGCGAGACAGACACGUCGAGCAGGUACGAAAGUAGGUCUUAGUGAUCCGGUGGUUCUGUAUGGAAGGGCCAUCGCUCAACGGAUAAAAGGUACUCCGGGGAUAACAGGCUGAUACCGCCCAAGAGUUCAUAUCGACGGCGGUGUUUGGCACCUCGAUGUCGGCUCAUCACAUCCUGGGGCUGAAGCCGGUCCCAAGGGUAUGGCUGUUCGCCAUUUAAAGUGGUACGCGAGCUGGGUUUAGAACGUCGUGAGACAGUUCGGUCCCUAUCUGCCGUGGACGUUUGAGAUUUGAGAGGGGCUGCUCCUAGUACGAGAGGACCGGAGUGGACGAACCUCUGGUGUUCCGGUUGUCACGCCAGUGGCAUUGCCGGGUAGCUAUGUUCGGAAGAGAUAACCGCUGAAAGCAUCUAAGCGGGAAACUUGCCUCAAGAUGAGAUCUCACUGGAGCCUUGAGCUCCCUGAAGGGCCGUCGAAGACUACGACGUUGAUAGGUUGGGUGUGUAAGCGCUGUGAGGCGUUGAGCUAACCAAUACUAAUUGCCCGUGAGGCUUGACCAU